rnacentral:rRNA from 1 species
GUAACCGGCUCACCAAGGCGACGACGGGUAGCCGGCCUGAGAGGGCGACCGGCCACACUGGGACUGAGACACGGCCCAGACUCCUACGGGAGGCAGCAGUGGGGAAUAUUGCACAAUGGGCGCAAGCCUGAUGCAGCGACGCCGCGUGAGGGAUGACGGCCUUCGGGUUGUAAACCUCUUUCAGUACAGACGAAGCGCAAGUGACGGUAUGUACAGAAGAAGCACCGGCCAACUACGUGCCAGCAGCCGCGGUAAUACGUAGGGUGCGAGCGUUGUCCGGAAUUACUGGGCGUAAAGAGCUCGUAGGUGGUUUGUCGCGUUGUUCGUGAAAACCUGAGGCUUAACCUUGGGCGUGCGGGCGAUACGGGCAGACUGGAGUACUGCAGGGGAGACUGGAAUUCCUGGUGUAGCGGUGGAAUGCGCAGAUAUCAGGAGGAACACCGAUGGCGAAGGCAGGUCUCUGGGCAGUCACUGACGCUGAGGAGCGAGAGCAUGGGUAGCGAACAGGAUUAGAUACCCUGGUAGUCCAUGCUGUAAACGGUGGGCGCUA